rnacentral:misc_RNA from 1 species
CAGAGUUGCAAGACUCCCUAAACCAUUGUGAACCUACCCUCUACCGUUGCUUCGGCGGGCGGGCCCAGCGCCCCCCCCGGCCCCCCGCGGGCGCCGCCGGAGGAUACCCAAACUCUUGACAUUAGUGGCCUCUCUGAGUAUUCUUUACUGAAUAAGUCA